GGAGAAGGGUAAAGACAAGAACUUUGGGGUGGGAAAAAGGGUGAUUCUUUAUUCUAACGGAAGAACCAAGAUGGAAUUGGAAGAAUCCCCCAAAUAAGAAAGCAGGCGGAGGACAGAAACCUAAAACGAAAACCCCUGGAUGGUUUGAAGGUGUCAAAGUUCUAAUAAAGGGUUGAAGAAAAACCCAGCAGCACUGUAACAGAGUAAAUUGAGGAAGUAGACGAGAUUUUGAACAAGUGGGGACAGGUCACGGGUAGAGGAUAAGUGAAGAUGAAUGAGAAGAGGAGGAGGAGGUGGAAGGAGAAGAAGAGGGAGAGAGGAGAUUGGCUAUGGAGUCGGGAAAGCUGUGAAGGACUGU
rnacentral:lncRNA from 1 species